rnacentral:lncRNA from 1 species
CCGCAGCAACCCCGAGCUCUGCCUCCUGUCCACCCGUGUGUCUGUGCACACAGCAUGUUGCUGUCAGGGAACGGCCUCCUGCUUCUCGAGUGCCAUGGGACUGGCUUUUGUUUGUGUUUUUCUUACCUAGGACUGGGACAAAAGAUGGCCUGGAGCCAGGAGGUGCCGCCCACCAGUAGGGCUAGGCUGGGAGAGCUACUUUUUCCCCACCAGAGCCGCCUCUGCUUUCAGUCCCAGGCUGCACCCCGCUGGCCUUUCUGGGCCACACCAGGACCAUUCUCUUGGCAAAAUCUGAGGGAAGUGAGGAAACCAAGGGCUCUUAUGAAAUGGACAGAGUGCGGGGUGGGCACCAGCUGGGCUGCGUCCCUGGCCAGAGCUGUCGGCCAAGUUGGAGGACAGAACAGGGUGCUGGGAGGGAAACAUGGAUUCACUGCAGUGCUCAGGCCACCAAGCACACCACCUCCCAGACACGAGGGAAACCCCAGCAUCGGCAGAGGAGUGAGAUUUUGCCACAGUCUGGCCCUGGCAGUUGAGGAGCAGCUGGUGGGAGGCGGGAGAUGUGCAGGCUGAGCACAGGCUCAUGUGUGCGAUGACUCAGGUCCCUCACUGGAGACACCAGCUGAGAGGAGAGACUGCAGGGCCUGGCACACACAGGGCCACUCUUCCUGCUGCCGGCCAGAAGGAGCUGCUUUGAUGCCUCUCUCCUUUGCUCAACUGCCCUCUGCCUAGAGCAGGCCACGUCCCUACUGGGGCAGGGAGCUCACUGGCCUCCAAGGUCCUGUUUAUCCGCAGCUUCAGUGGAAGGAGGUCCACUCUCCUGCUGUUGCCACCUCCUGGUUGAGCAGCACCUUGUCCAGAACCGCCUCGUCUUCAUUCUCAUUGUCUUUAUUUCUGGUUUUCUGCUGUGCCGCAUUUAUCCCAUGCAUAUAUGACAGCCUUUAAGAAACAUCAGAGAGUAACAGAGACGGAGGUGCCGAGAAUCAGCAAAUGGAGAAGCCCUGGGCUCUGUUCCCCAGUGCUGUUGUGUUAAAGGAUUUUGUUAUUGUCAGUGGUGGUUUGCCCUUUUUGAAAAAUGGAAGCAUCAAAGUUUUAAACUUAUGCUAUCAUUAAAAUAACAACAACAUUCAUUGUCUGAAACAAAAAUUAACUGUGAAGUGAGAAUUUGAGAAGUCUCAGCCAGAACACAGUGCUGACCUUCAUCUGCGUUUUGUAGCCACCACGUCCAAUCCAUCACCUGCUGGUUGUAGCGGCAGAGAGAAGGAUGCAACCCCUGUCCUGCUGUUGUUUUAUGGCUGAUGAUUCAUGAAGACAGAAAAAAUGCCCUCAUUUUGGCAGCUUUCAUUUGAUCAUUCUUUCCCACCUUCCCCAGCCUCUGGGAGAUGUGUUUAUUGCCAGCUUCACUGCAGAGGAGACAAAUAAGUAACCCAGAUGUUGGUGUUUGUGGUGCCUUUGCAGACACCUCCAUGACACGUCAUAUCAUACACUGCAUAUUGGAUGUAACGUGAGCAAUUUAUGAGUCCAGACGCAUCGACUGCUCUCCUUGUGCCCCUGCUGACAUUCCCAAGAGAUCAAUAUCCUGUAAAAGCCUGAAGAUUGCUUCCUUUAAAUGCUUACUAAUUACAGAUUCUGCAAAACUAUUUCAUAAGCCAGUUCUGUGGAACCCCUUUCUGGCCAUUUCCUGAAGCAACUUUCUUUCCUAAUCAUCCCCAUAACAUGAAGGCCAGGUUCUGCAAGUAAAGGGUGGUGAGGCAAUUCUGGAAUCAUCUAAGUGGCAAGCCCAGGGGGGUGGGUUUCAGAGAACACAUAGAGGAAAGUGGAGGCUCGGGAGGUGUGGAAAUACUGACCUGAUGGAAUUAACCAUCUUCCCGGGAGCAAGACUGAGCCCAUGGAGGGUGCUGUGGAGCUUGCUGCAGGUUCUGCUGGAUAGGAAAUUGUGUCUCAUCCACCUGCUGUCUGCUUCUGUCCUGUCUUAGCCCAGCAGAGCUGUUUUAACACAGACAUUUGCAGCCUGCCCAGUACUCUCCUGGAACCAAUAAGUCGCCAGUUAGGAAAAAGAUCAGCACUGACCAAACACAGAGAUGUUGGAAACCUGCAUUAAUCCCCAGUAGAGGCAGAGGCUCUGAAUGCUGAAGCCACAGCUACGACUUGGCCACACUCUGCACAUGGCCCCAGACAUUCAGAUUUCUGCACCCUCAGGGUGGCUUGCAGGCUCCAGAGCCGGGGUUCGGGCCCUGCUGACCACAGCCAGCUGUCCCCUGCAGCCUCAGACCAGGGCCAAAUUCCUGGUGUGCUUCCCUCCUGCACCCACUCAACAGCUCUGUGGCCUUUGCAAGCACCUGCCUGACAGGGCUAUGGCAAUGUGUGGAGUCAGACAAUGGUGCCAAGUCGGGAGCGGACUUACGGUGAGACAGUGUAGAUAAAGCCUGGGGCCCAGCUCCCCAGCAGCACCUGCUCCUGCACUGUGGCCACCGUGGCAACGUAGCUGCUUCUAUUUCCUUGAGCUCCAUUGCCAUCUUUUCCCAGGCGGGGCCCCUUCACCCCCUGCACCUGCCACCAUCCGCCCUUGCCCCUUACUCCUGAGCCUCCUUUCAGUCCUGCUCUUGGAAGGGAAAGAACCCCUGGCUUGGGGAGCCUGCCUGGUCCUGGGGUGGCCGCCUGCCAAGGCCCUGGCAUCUCCCAUCCUGAGGCUCCUGCCCUGCCUCUGAGCUCUCCCUCUCACUCCCGUCCCCUUGGCCUCUCCCGGCUGGGGCCUUGCUGUCUGUCACCCCUGAACGGAGCUGAUGCUGACACCCCAGAACAGCAGGGACCUGGAACUGUUCCAGUCACCUGCUUCAAGCAGCACCUUGAGGACAGACCUUCACCUGCACUUGGAGCAUUUAGUUGAACUGCAGUUUUGAUAAUAAUGUAACUGUGUGCAAACACUAGAGCAAGUGACUGUGGUGUGGAAGGGCGAAUACUCGGGAAGUGUGGGAUUUUUGUCUGAGAAGUUUAUUCAGCAAGCAGCUAAUUCAUGGUAACAUAAAGAAAGUUGAUAUGAAAACUGCCCUUCCCCUAUAUCCCUAAGGAGACCACCAAGAAGACCAGGACAUGCUAUUACGUAUGUUCUAGAAAUGAUGAAGGGGAGCACUGGGGAGCUAAGAUACAUGGGUUUAAUCUCAGAUUCACUUCCGAUGAACCGCCCUCCUUCGUGCAUCCACUCUGAAAGGCGUGGCCUCAGUACGAAUUUGGGAAGCUUUUGCAGUGGCAGAAGUCAUGAAAUUAGGGGGCAGCACCUUAGGGCCAUCAAAAGGGAGGGUUGUCUUGGGAAUGAAGGUUUGGCGUUAACAGAUCUGGCUUGUUGGGUCUAAAGAACAACAAAGUAUUCCUCCCUGGCUCUCGGAACUCAAGGUCCUGAGCUCUUCAAUACUGGGCAAGUUCACGUUUGCACAUUUCGCACAAGCAGGAGGCAGGGUGAGUUGUUGGGAUUCAUGCCAGGCAGAGCCGAGCACAUCAGGGGCCCUGGGUAAAAGGGGGUGGGGACAGCGCAGGCACCAAAGGUCUUGGCAUGGGGUUGCCAGCCACCAGCAGACACCAGAUGGGAAGGGAAACCGCAGGCCCACCGUUUGCCUCUGCCUGCGGGGUGCUGCCCCCACAGUGCCUCUCAGGUGUCUGUAGUCUCACACUUGUUUCUCACCCUCAAUGUGGAUCACAGCUGCCGCAUGUCUCUGUAAGCACCACAAGGCCGGUGGCAUCCCCUUGGGCUCACAGGAUGCCUGAACCACCAGCCUCAUCCUGAACUCCCCUCCAUGUACGUGAGCCCCAUUAGCUUUUCUCCCAUUUGUAGGCAAUGGAAGGCCAAACUCUCUUAGAGAAAGAACAAGAAACUAGGGUGAGCUGCCUCACAUGUUGAGAUGUGGAAAACUGAGAUUUAUUUGCAGAGAAAAGAACUGGGCUCCACUGUCCUGAGGGUGCCUCUGGUCUCUCGCAGUUGGAUCCCCUCACAUUUCCCAAGCCCAGGUCCAGAUCUCCUCCUCCCCACCCUAUCUCUUCACUUCUCAUAAACCAGCUCCCCUAGCUUUGCCCAGAUCACCCAGCAACACCAUGGCAGGUAAAUCCUUCCUCUUUACAGUAGACUCUGAAAUUCGCCCUAUGUUUCCCACUCCCCUCUUCGUCGAUGAAAAGGAACAGCUUGGGGUUUCCAGCACCUGGUGCCUCCUGUCUGCGGCCCCUCCAGGACAUUGGCUGUAAAGCUUUCUCCUCCUCCAGACGCCUUCGUGCACCCACCUGCACCGACCGUCCCGACCUCAGCCCACCUUUUCUCCAUCCUGAGCCACAGUACAUGUCCCCCAGGAAUCUGUGGCUCUGACCACCUCUGACAAUUCACUCCCCGUCAGCCCCUUGGGAACCCCAAGAGAGUUCAGCCUGAGCCCCCGGCCUUCCGGGCCUCCCCAGCUGUGUUUCCGGUCAUUCCUUUCCUCGAGUCCCUCCACCCUGGAUGCCCAGGGUGCCACCCUAGCCUCCCCUACACGCUGGCUUGGUUCUUCUCAACCAUCGCCAUUGGCUUGGUUUCUGUUGUGUUUGGUUUUUAGGGGUCAGGCUGCCGAGUGCUGUUCUUCUCCUGGGCUCUGUCCUCCUCUCUCUCCUUGGGUUGCAGCAUCCAGGUCUGAUCCAAUAACUCCACAGCACACAAUGCGGCCCAGGCCAUGCACGGAGGAAGACAGCAGAGCGGCCAUGAGGCUCCCAAAGGGAGCCAGGGCCCAGGCCCAGCACACCCUGCCCACAAUCCCCUGCAUCCACUGCCUCUCCUGCACCCGGCACUGGGCAGCGUGGGCUGUGUCAGCGGUGUCCCUCCUCCCUUCUCAAUCUGUUGUGAGCUCCAUUAGGCCAGGGACCGGUCCUUAGAAGCUGUGGGACCCUUCAGCCUCCCUAGCAGAAUGUCUUGCACACAGUGGUGGCUCCAUAAAAUAUUUAUUUUCUAUUUUGUCCAUUUAUUUUAUAAAUCUCAUGCAGGCCAGAUAGAUUGGAAUUAUCAAUUACUCUAGAAAAUAAAAGGAUAAAAGCAAGAUCUGGAAAUACAGACCGAGCAGCACUGGAAUGCACCAACUAAGGCAGAGAGGCCCCCUGAGGCUCCGCGACUGCUGGACCAUUUAAGGCAACAUCAUAUCUCAAGUGGGGAGGGAGAGAAUCCGCCGGUCUCAGCGGGGGUGGGUUUUUUAAAGUGGAUUUAGUCAUGGUCUGGACUUGCCCAAUUUUCUGUGCUAUGCUGUGGGAAGGGACAAGGUCCUAAACUACCCUCACAGGACUUAAAUAAAACAAAGAACACAUACAGGUGGGUGGGAAGGCAGUCAGAUGACUCAAUUCUGUGCCCACCACCCAUGGCCCCUGAUGGGUCAUGCCUUCUGCUUAGACAACAGCCUCCUAGACCCCACAGAUGGGGGCAAUGGCAUAAACUCAGACCUGCAGCCGAGGCCUGACUCACCACAAUGGCCCUGCCCUGCACUGCCAGUGACAGACCUGUCACUUUCUCACUGAUCCUUCAUUUUCCUAUGAAAUGGGGCUAAUAUUGCCUCUUUCUAAGGUUGCUAUUAGGAUUAAUUUUUGAGAUAAUAGACACUGAGAUAACAAACCUGCCAAGUGUUACAUCGAUGUGAUUAUCCUGAGAUUGAGAGGAAAUGUCAGUGAGGCACUAGGUGGUGGCAUGGCCGUGAGUGGGAGAAAGAGGGUGGAUGUUCCAGAUGUCCCUGGAUCUCUACCAAAGAGAAGAUGCAGCGAAAGGACAGCCGUGUUCCUGGUGUCUCCUUUUCCCCUCAGGACAAUGAAUUACGGGUUUUCUGUGCCUUAGUUUUCUUCCUUUCAAAUGCAGUUAAUAAUACUGUCUCUCAGGGGGUAUUCACAGACGUGAACAAUUAAUGAUCGCAAAGUGCUUUGAAAAUAAAUGAGCUUACUCAUAAUGGUGGUGUUUGAUAUUUAUAAUAAUAAGCCUGUGCUGCUGGCUUCGCGAACUAUAUUCAUUGGUACAGAGCUUAGUUUUAUGACUGGCUUUUUCAAUAUUUUAACAUAAAAUCCUCUUAUUUUAAAGUAAUCAAAUGACCUUCCUGCAUUCCUCCAGAGUCUUAUUCGGAAAAACUUAAGAUUUGAUCAUAGAUCUAUUUUAAGAAGUGCCAAGUUAACUGACAUCGAUGCCAUCGUAUCUGGAGUCCCUAGGAAAUCCAGGGGGGGACAAUGAACCGUAGGAAGACUCGGACUCGGGUCUGCCUGUAGCACUCGGAGCCUGCAAGGCAACACAGUUAUUGAGUUCUAUUAAAAUUACUUGGUGUGGCUAUAAACCAAACCACACCCCUGUAGCCAAUGCGAAGAGCUUCCCGUAAAAGCCGUGCGGUGGGAAGGCCUCUCGCUGUCUCCUCUGCGCGGCAGGCAGACAUGGACGACACCGAGGCGUGAAUUCAGCCUGCACCUCCUAAAGAUGAGCUGUUGAGGGCGAUGGCCACAGCAAGUCCGCACCAAGUGCUCUUUAAACAUGAGUGUUUCUUUAAACAAAGAACCUUCCCGGCAUUGAGGUCUGAUUAAUGAUGCCCCGGCACCUCCUCCCUCACUCAGGGAUCACUUCCCUGCGGCGCGUUCCCAGACGCAGGCUUCCCUCACGGAGGCGGGAAGAUUUCAGGCGCUGUCUGUUCUUGUCUUUUGUCAGCACGGACAAGGAUGGAGACCCCACUGGUCAGGCGAGCCCCGCGGUCCCUGUUCCUCACUUCACCACCUGGGGAAGCCUGAUCCCCAUCGAUUCGCAAAGGAACAAGGAAAGAACACGUUUUACCUGGAUGGAUGGUCCCCCUCACGGUGGCCUUGGAACCCGCUUCAGCGGGAGAGGCAGCGCCUCACUCACGGCUCCCCCUGGCCGCUGCUUUACCAGGGAGCGCCACCCCGUGCCCCGCCAGAGGAAGUGCAGGCGCCAGCACAGCACGGGCCGAAAGCCACACUGUGGGACCCGCAGCGCAGCUCCAAGAAAUCCAAAGUCCAUUCACAAGAGGAGCUUCUCCGCCAAAUCGUUGAAAAAUAAAACGAGAAAUGAGUCGCCACCGGUAUCCGCUUUAGUCAGCCGUACGAAAACGCAACCCGGUCAGCUGCACUUCUGCUGCCAGCCCUCCUCCAGUCAAGCACCGGCCUCGAGAAGGGCAAAGGGCAGGUAGGAGUUCCGACGCAUGCGGCCACGGGGCGGAGUCACAGUUCAGAGGCCUCAGCUGAACCUGAAGUUAUCCUAAGCUCGAGCCCCAGAGUGAGGACUCGGGGUCAGGCAUCCGAUUCCCCAUCAGCUCCUUUACUAAAGCUGUGCAGAGAAUCCGAGGCUAUGAGUGGGGGUGGGGGAAAGAUGUACAGGAUGCUUUGGUUUCACUCCUGAGAUACGAGAACGUCCUCUGAACACACAUGCAGAUAGCUGGACUUCUAGACAGAGGAAAUCCAAAUCGUUUCUUUCCUCCCAGCAUAAGGGAACGGUCCGGUAAGAGCUGGUGUUUAUCGAUGCUACGUGCCAGAAUGGGGCUGAGCACGGCGCCUCACUGUAUCCUAACGUCUAAUGAGGCAGGGAAUGUCACUGUCACACUCUGCAGACGAGGAAGCCAUGCUGUCAGCAGGUACACAUCUUGCCACAAAACCAGUAACCUGUGGCACUGAGAUCGCACACCGGUCGUCCACUGCCAAGUCCGUGGCCUCCUUCUCUGGGGUUUGCCUGCCUCUUGAUGGCGGCCAUGCCUCUGUCCUCUCGCAGGGGCUGGCUCUUCCAGUGGUCACUACUUUUUGGUUGCAAGCAGCAGAGAUUCCCUGGAGGGCUUGUUGAAAGCACUCACAUCAACGGAGCCUCAGAAAGGGAGCUGAGGCCAUGCACGGCCCUGCAGUUUCUCCUCAGGCUUUGGUUUGCAUCCCUGGCCUGACUUUCCCUCAACAAGUCCUGCUAUCUCCACAAGGCGGCCAGCCCAGCCCUGUCCUCACCUUCCAGCCCCAGCUGAGCAGCCCCUCCCCACAUCAUCUUCAGCUGCUGCCCAGGCUCCGCAGAGCAGGUGUCCACCGCCCAUCCAGCCAUUGUGUUUAGAGGGCAGAGCGACCUGCCGGGACCUUGACAACACCUGGCCCCACCCACACGUCCUGCAAUAUUCACUGAGGAAUGCACAGCAGCACAUAUGUGCCUCAUGUGUCCUGCUGUGAUGCAGCGAGUGGCACACAGCAUUAUUGUGUCAAUCAUGUGUCUUGAUGUGAUGCACUGGUUCAGACAGUAUCAUGGAUGCAGUGUUUCUUUAAAACUGUCAAAUUUGAGGAAACAAUCUAACAAAAGCCAAUUGAUGAACAUUCUGUAAAGGUGACAUAAAUACUUCAAAAAUGUCUCUGACACAGAAAG